CCGGAAGCGGCGAGCACGGACUGCGGCUGCGCGGCCGUGGUCGGGUGUGGAGCUCGCCGCGACCUCCUGAUACUCCGGCCGCCGUCCUCCCUGGCCUGUUCGCGCAGUCUCUGGGGUGGCUCUCCGGGCACCGCCUGCCCGAAGGCAUGUGGCAGAAGCCUGAGAGUGGGUGAGCCCUGCCUCCUCCCGCUGAGGAUGAGCAGGAUGGCGAGCCCAGGCCUUGGCCGCCUCCCAACGCCAACUGAUCGGAUUGCUGCCUGCCUACUGCGUGCUGUUUCUGCGAGUAGAGGACAGAAAGAAGGGCCUCAUCACACGCUUCCAAGACGGCGAAACACGUUUUCGGAGACUUGAAGGAUCUGCACCGUAAGAUCGCCUUAGGGCUGCACAACAUCGCGAAUAUGAAUGCCCUUGGAGUCCCCGAAGCAACCUGGAAAUCACCAAGAUGAAAGCCCUGGUUCUUGGCCAGGCUUCGGAAGAAAGAACUGCAGUGUUGUCCGGAGCAGUACGAGGUCAACAGAGCCAAGCCUAAUUAGGGCUAGUGCUAGGACCAUGCUGGUGGGAGGAAGGGUAGCCACUGAGGGCAUAGAAGAAGCCUGAGAAAAUUUUGGAACUUUAGUUUUUAAAUCUUGUAUCCUACCAGGUUUUGUUACUUUUAAUAUAUUAAAUUGCUGAUUAUAAAUGAGGCCGUUUCUUUUUCUUAUAGAAUGUGUUGUAGAGUUUUGUGCAUUUUGUAAAAUGAGUUGAAAAAACAUUGCAUUUUAUUCUGUGAUCCUGAAUGCAGUAUGCAGCUCUGUAAUGCUGGCCUUGAUGACGUGAAGGAAGGCAACAGGUUUGGUCUGGUACCAGGGUGGGAAAGCUUAUUUCAUGCUAAGACUCUAACAUUUUUGUGUUUUUUUAAACAAAAAGAAGACUGGUAUGUACUUCUAUUUGCCUAGCUAUUAUAGUGAUGUAGUGAAUGAGAAGCGUAUCCUGAUACACUUAAUAAACUUGUUGAGCAUCUUG